CAUUCUCUCAACACACGGAUGGAAAUUACCACACUGUUUUAUUUACUGCUUCUAGUUGCCUCAGGUCUUGGCACUGUGAAGUUCACCCGUUAAGAUCUGACUGCCUCACAGCACAGGUGACAGCAGGUGAUCAUUCUGAACGUGUGAGUCUGGACAAUGAAGAUUGGCAGCACACUCACUCAUGGAGCUCACUGCUGUAAAGCCCAAGUAAAUCAGGCAUCUUCUGGUCUAUUUGGCUCUACAUCACCAGAGGCUGCAGGGGUACGUGCUGAGGAUUGCACUGAAGCUUGGCGCAGCCAAUGCAAAGACUCUAUGGGGAAGGACUGCAGCCCAAGGUUCUUCUGCCACUAGAAAUUGGCUAAGACCUUUGUAAAAGACUCUCAAAUUGGAAGUUUUGUAGCACCCAAAGGGGACCACAUGGGUGGCAAUGAUGCUCUGUAUACAGAACAUGCUCACACUACAAGUGUAUUGAGCCAAAAUCAUUAAUAAUGUAUAAAC